GGAAUAUCCUGGAUAAGUACUUAAUUACUAUUUUUAUUGAGUUUUUAGCCACUUAGCUCCAUUCACCCCCAUUCAUUUUGGACUCGCUCGCGGGCUCCCCCUAGCGGUGGGCGGUAUUUUCUGGUAUAACGGAGAGCUGGGGAGUGGGCAGUCUCUCCAUAAACUGCCUGUAUAACCGCUCUACAUAACUCAGAGGAUUCAUAUAUAUCAUAUUACACCGUAUUAAACAUUUUUAAUAGGUUUCUCAGUCCUGAGGCCAGUGCCAGUGCUUGGCCGCCCCCUGCUUAGGGAAGACGUUUACCAUAUCCGGCUGGACGAGGCCCAUCUGAGAAUUGGCUCUUGUCAAGCAAGGAGUGUAUGGAUACAAACGAGGGGUCUCCCAGGGAGCAGGCUCCCUCUGUGGCUGCCAGUCAGAACACAUGGUCCACGAUGGGCCAUUUUCUGAUAGUCAGGGGGCUGAUGGGAUGGAGGAAGACAAUGUCUCAGUCCUCGGCUAAAGGUAAAACCAAGCCCCAUAGUUAUUGA
rnacentral:lncRNA from 1 species